GCUCCGUAGGUGAACCUGCGGAGGGAUCAUUACAGAGUUCGUGCCCUCACGGGUAGAUCUCCCACCCUGUGUUAUUAUACCUUUGUUGCUUUGGCGGGCCGCCCUCAGCUACCGGCCCCGGCUGGUACGCGCCCGCCAGAGGACCCCAAACUCUGAAUGUUAGUGUCGUCUGAGUACUAUACAAUAGUUAAAACUUUCAACAACGGAUCUCUUGGUUCUG
rnacentral:misc_RNA from 1 species